rnacentral:misc_RNA from 1 species
GGAAGGAUCAUCAACAAAUCUCUGGUGUUUUUGGCACCAAUAACCAAUGUGAAUAGCGCCCUUUGGGUGUUUAGGACCAAAUUUUAGUGGGAGACCGCUGAUAGUUGGCCCAAGUAAACUAGACCAGAGUCGGAUAAAAACACGAAUGAAACAACUUUUAACAAUGGAUCUCUUGGUUCUUGCAACGAUGAAGAACGCAGUGAAUUGCGAUAAGUAGUGUGACUUGCAAACUCUGUGAAUCAUCAAAUUUUUGAACGCAUCUUGCACUCUCUGGGUCUACUGGAGAGUAUACCUGUUUGAGUAUCAGAAAGUACUCUACUCUGUGGAGUAGGAGGUGAGGUUUAGCUUUUGGCUAUUCCUUGAAAGGGAGGAAGGUGUAGGCGCUAGCCGGUGCGGUAGGAAUAGGUAGUAUUCUCCCACUCGACACUAGUGACGAGCCUUUAUAUAAAUUUUGGACUAUGAUCUCAAAUCAGGUAGGAUUACCCGCUGAACUUAAGCAUAUCAAUAAGCGGAGGAAAAGAAACUAACAAGGAUUCCCUUAGUAACGGCGAGUGAAGUGGGAAGAGCUCAAAUUUUGAAUCGGGGGGGUUUCCCUUCCGAGUUGUAAACUAUAGAGGCGUUUUCUGUGGCGGCUGUGGUACAAGUUCCCUGGAAAGGGGCAUCAGAGAGGGUGACAAUCCCGUACCUGACCAUCUGCCUGCUGCUUUAUGAUACGUCUUCUACGAGUCGAGUUGUUUGGGAAUGCAGCUCAAAAUGGGUGGUAAAUUUCAUCUAAAGCUAAAUAAUGGCAAGAGACCGAUAGCGAACAAGUACCGUGAGGGAAAGAUGAAAAGCACUUUGAAAAGAGAGUUAAAUAGUACGUGAAAUUGUUAAAAGGGAAGCGAUUGGGAUCAGUAUUUUCCGGUGGAUUCAGCCAAUCUCGGUUGGUGUAUUUUCCAGUGGAAAAGUCAGCAUCAGUUCUGUCUGCCGGAUAGAGCCAGUGGGAAGGUGACUCUCUCGGGAGUUUUUAUAGACCAUUGGCAGAACGGUGGGCCGGGACUGAGGACAGCAGUGUAGCGCAAGCAUUUCCGAAUCUGGCUGUUUCUUUGAGGGGCAUUCCAGGCAACUUUUGACUGGUUUGUACUUUUUGAGUAACGAGUUAGUGAGGUUACAUACACUUAGGAUGCUGACGAAAUGGUCUUAAACGACCCGUCUUGAAACACGGACCAAGGAGUCUAACAUAUAUGCGAGUAUUAGGGUGGCAAACUCUAGUGCGUAAUGAAAGUGACAGAUGGGAGUUUUUAUGCACCAUCGACCGAUCUUGCAGUUUGUUAAUGAAUAGAUUUGAGUAGGAGCAUAUCUGUUGGGACCCGAAAGAUGGUGAACUAUGCCUGAAUAGGGUGAAGCCAGAGGAAACUCUGGUGGAGGCUCGUAGCGGUUCUGACGUGCAAAUCGAUCGUCAAAUUUGGGUAUAGGGGCGAAAGACUAAUCGAACCAUCUAGUAGCUGGUUCCCUC